UCCAAACCUGUUUCUUCACCAUGGUAAGAAGAGAUCACCACUUUCAAUAAAGUAGGUGCUUUACCUUCAGUUCCACCAGGCGGUGCUGUGGGGAGGAAAUAACAGUUACUGGUGGUAAGCUUUCAGAUGGAUCACCUAGCUGGGCCAAGCACUGAUCCAGAAGUCAUGGAAGCAGCCCACAGCAUUUUCAGACUUAUUAAGGUUUCUCCUCUCUUGACUUACCGUUUCAUUGCUGGCAAUAAAGUUCUGAUCCAAGGUUACAAUUUGCAACUUGACUAUAGAACAAAAGAAAAACAGGACUGGCUGAAAUGAAAUCAAGUCUGUUAAUAAUAAUAAAAAUGUAUGGCUAAGA